UAAACCUUGCGGCCGUACUCCCCAGGCGGUCUACUUAAUGCGUUAGCUUGAGAGCCCAGUGUUCAAGACACCAAACUCCGAGUAGACAUCGUUUACGGCGUGGACUACCAGGGUAUCUAAUCCUGUUUGCUCCCCACGCUUUCGUGCCUGAGCGUCAGUCUUUGUCCAGGGGGCCGCCUUCGCCACCGGUAUUCCUCCAGAUCUCUACGCAUUUCACCGCUACACCUGGAAUUCUACCCCCCUCUACAAGACUCUAGUUCGCCAGUUCGAAAUGCAAUUCCCAGGUUGAGCCCGGGGCUUUCACAUCUCGCUUAACAAACCGCCUGCGCACGCUUUACGCCCAGUAAUUCCGAUUAACGCUCGGACCCUCCGUAUUACCGCGGCUGCUGGCACGGAGUUAGCCGGUCCUUCUUCUGUAGGUAACGUCACAGUAAUAGCGUAUUAAACUAUUACCUUUCCUCCCUACUGAAAGUGCUUUACAACCCGAAGGCCUUCUUCACACACGCGGCAUGGCUGCAUCAGGGUUUCCCCCAUUGUGCAAUAUUCCCCA
rnacentral:rRNA from 1 species